rnacentral:rRNA from 1 species
AUGUUGACGGCAGACAAGCAAUUCUCUGUCCAGAGUGCAUACAGCCUGUUCUUUCUAGGCAACAUUCGCUUUGCAUGCUCAAAGCCGAUUUGGAAAUCCAAGGCUCCACCGCGUUGUAAAUUCUUCAUGUGGCUUGUGGUGCAUAAAAGAUGUCUCACGGCGGACAACCUGGAGCGACGAAAGGACUGCACUCACCUUUUUGCCCAUUGCCCAUAUACCCAACAGGUUUUGUUGCUCUUUAAAACAUGGGCGAAUGCAAAUUCCAUUACCCCCAGUGUUUCUUUCACUUCCACGGAAGACUGGUGGCUUCGGGCUAGGGCGGCUAUUCCGAAGGAAGUCAGGAGGAAUUUUGACAUGGUAAUCAUCAUGCUGCACUGGAGGGUGUGGAAAGAGCGAAACGCCAGGAUAUUUGAUCAUGCUUCCAACCCACCUGACUGGGUUCUGGACCGGAUCAAGGAAGACGUAGCCAUGUGGAGAGCCCCGGGAUGCAUUGCUGAUCUCCUGGCUUAG